ensembl:lncRNA
GGGGCUGGCUCUAGGACCAUGAGGAGCGCUGUCGGCGAGCACAUGCUUGGGUGCGCUCACAAGACAACACUUCUCUCCACAGUAAUUGGCCGGGAAUUGAUGCCAUUCUUGUGUUAUUAAAUCGUUUUGGAUCGUUUCCGUCUCUCGGUGUACGCGUAUUGCUCGCUUCCCCCCGUAGUUUAAUCACUUUUACGCACGACGGGUGCCCCGAAACACCUCCAUGAAUGAAUGGGGACGGUGCUGCGGGUUGGAUACGCGCUCUCCUGGAUUAACGGUCUUCUCCUGCUCCUCUUGAUCAUAUUUCAGGAAGUCAUCGGGACCGUGCACAUCAGCUGUUGAGUCGUGCCUCUGUUAUGGUUGUGUUGCAGUGAAACAUUUCGUCCAGACCUGUUCACGUUUCGCUCGGAACCAUGAACUGGCACGGUCGCUGGAGCCUCAAGUUUGCGUUUCUGACAGCGAUGCACGCCUUGUUGUCAUCGGCGUCCUCGCUGCUGCACGCCGUGGAUGAUGUGCGCUCGGAACCCUUGCAAGCGCAGAUUCUAAGCGUAAUGCAAACGCGUAAACCCGAGCAAGACCACCAAUGACCCCCCAGCCUUGACGUUCUGUCUCCCAGAAAAAGAGCAGCGUGAUAACUUUUGUAUCACUAUGUGAUUCAGCCCAAGGUGGUAUACAUGUGGGGCGCGCGCGCACAC